rnacentral:lncRNA from 1 species
ACUUAUUUCUUGCUUAUUCGCUCAUUCAUUCAUUCAUACCAUCAUUCAUUCAGUCAGCCAAACGUUUAUUGUUCACCUACUUUGUCCCAGGUACUGUUAUUUUCUGGGGUUCAGAGAUGAGAGCAAAGUUGCUGCCCUUAAGGAGCUCCUCCCCUCAGGCUAAUGAGGGAGAAAAACAAGAUGAACACUAAUGACAAUCUGCGGGAGGGGUAGAGGGCUAUAGAAAAGCAGGGUGGCUAGGUAACUAACUCAGACUGGCCGGGCUCAAGGAAGGUGCUUGAGAAAAUGUGGGCUGAUGCCGGGCGUGGUGGCUCACACCUGUAAUCCCAGCACUUUGGGAGGCCGAGGUGAGCGGAUCACUUGAGGGCAGGAGUUCAGACCAGCCUGGCCAACAUGGUGAAACCCCGUCUCUACUAAAAAUACGAAAACUAUCCGGGUGUGGUGGCACACGCCUGUAAUCCCAGCUACUCGGGAGGCUGAGGCAGGAGAAUCGCUUGAACCCAGGAGGCAGAGGUUGCAGUGGGCCAAGAUCGCACAACUACACUCCAGCCUGGGCUCCUGGGCUCAAGUGAUUCGCCUGCCUCAACAUCCCAAAGUGCUAGAAAUACAGGCCCUAACUGAUCCUUUUCAAAGGCACACCUGCCAUACCUCUCUGACCUUACCUCCUCUCCCCAAAUCUAAACAUCUGGGCCACACUGUCACUGGCACCUCCCAGGUGGUCACCAUUCACUUUUCCUUGCCCCAGCUAACUCCCUUAUUCAUCCCUCAGAACCCAGGGUCAGUGCCACUCCCUCAGGCACACCUGCCCUGAUCCCUUCACGCAGGCCUGCCCAUUUAAAGGUUGUCAUGGUGCUUGACUUCUCCUUCACAGCAUGGGAAACUGUCGUGCCUCAUUCCAUGAGGAUGAAGCCUGUGUCCAACUUGUUCGCUGCCUUAUGUCCGGGGCUUAAAGCAGAGCCUCCCACACAAAAGACAGUCAAUACCUUUUUGUUGACUCAGUAAAUGAAACAAAGAAUA